UUCGAGCUUUAGUUUUCCGCCAAAUAAAACGCGCUGCGGAGCAGCCGAGACCGAGAGUGACGGCGAUUGAAAUCCAACACCUGAAAAAAAAAACUACUUUUGUUUAUUUGUGCUUCCCCCCUGCUUUUUGAUUCUCUAUAUGGAGCUAAGAACGGUUCGAGUGGGGAACAUCUCAGAUCUGGCCGGGGAGAGGGAGAUUCGAGAGUUCUUCUCCUUCUCCGGCGACAUCGAGUAUGUUGAGAUCCAAAGUGGUGAUGUGGGAAAUGGGAGGACUGCUUAUGUUACAUUUAGAGAUCCGAAAGCACUUGAGAUCGCAUUGCUGCUGUCGGGAGCUACAAUUGUUGACCGGAUAGUGACCAUAACUCCUGCCGAGAAUUACAUUUAUAUCCCUAUCGUUGAGGGGCGUUCUAUGGUAAAUGAGGUGACGAGCUCAACUUCUACCGGAAAUUUUGUACCGACUGUUGAGGUUGAGACGAGUCCCAGCGGUGGCCGGAUUUAUGUCAGUAAAGCCCAUGAUGUCGUGACAAGCAUGCUAGCAAGGGGUUCAGCAAUUGGACAAGACGCUGUGAAUAGAGCCAAAGCAUUUGACGAGAAGCAUCGAUGGACGGCUAGUGCAUCAGCAAAGGUUACAUCUUUCGAUAGGAGGGUUGGCCUUUCAGAGAAAAUCUCUGUUGGAAUAUCAGUCGUUAAUGAGAAAGUGAAAUCUGUGGAUCAAAGGUUACAUGUUUCUGACAAAACGAUCGUUGCCAUAACAGUAGCAGAGCGCAAGCUAAAUGACACAGGCACUGCUGUGAAAACUAACAGGUAUGUAACUGCUGGAACUACUUGGCUUAAUGGAACUUUUCGCAAAGUGGCAAAGGCUAGCCAUGCUGCAAGCACAAAAACAAGAGAGAAGUUUCAAUUGGCAGUGUCCAAUCUAACAGCAAAGGAUCCAGCUGUUGCUGCAUAAGAUAGUAUUAUCGUGUGGGAGGAAGCUUUAUUUGUACCUUUGGACGAAUUCAAUCAAGCAUUUGUUUGCACAUGUGUGCCAUUGAUUAUCUCAAGAAGGAGGAGGAAGAUUGAGGCAAUGAAAGAAUCUUAUUAUUAUUCCAACUGAGUGGAGAAGGAGAAUUAUUGGCUCAAAAGAUGACAGUACGGAUCAUAAAAGCCUAAAUUGUAAUGAGAGAAAAGGAGAUUUGGUGGGGUGAAGCCAAAAGACAAAAGGAUAGGACCUUGUAAGUUUGUGAGAUACAUUACCCCAUCUGCAGUGGAUGACCAUAUAUAUUUACCGAUGGUAAAAGGUUAUACGCCAUUUGGAUUUUAAACUUAUGGAAUCAUAUUUAUGUGCUUC